GGCAAGGUGGCCGAGUGGUCUAAGGCGCUAGUUUUAGGAAUUCCCUUCUUGAGGAGGUGGAAAACCACUAGUUCGAAAGAGCAUGGGUUCGAAUCCCAUCCUUGUCA